CUAGCUUGUAUUGGGUUAUUUCCAUAACAACCCAGAGAGUUGGGUUAAAAUCGGGCUCACGUCACGCAUUUUGAAUUUCAACGGUUGACCGGUGCCACUGCUGAGUGCGGACAGACACGAGAGACAUUCUUGGAGAUGUUGCAUUAAAAACCUUACAAAAUGGCCAGCAAGAUGAUUCAGCCUUCCUACAGUACCAAGAGGCAAAGCAAACAUUUAUUAAUUUGCAACCUGUCAGAAAACAAACAUAAUUCAGUAUUUGGAGGAGGAGGUAUGACGAAGAUCCCAUGUCCUCCUAUGGGAUGAAUUCGACUAAUCACAAGCCUUUGUUAUCGUGGGGAGGCAUGCAUGGCCCAGGAGCAAGACCAGCAGUUGAC